UACGUAGGGUGCGAGCGUUAAUCGGAAUUACUGGGCGUAAAGCGUGCGCAGGCGGUUUUGUAAGCCAGAUGUGAAAUCCCCGGGCUUAACCUGGGAAUGGCAUUUGGGACUGCAAGGCUGGAGUGCGGCAGAGGAGACUGGAAUUCCUGGUGUAGCAGUGAAAUGCGUAGAUAUCAGGAGGAAUACCGAUGGCGAAAGGCAGGUCUCUGAGCUGACACUGACGCUCAUGCACGAAAGCGUGGGGAGCAAACGAGGAUACGUAAC
rnacentral:rRNA from 1 species